CCUACGGGAGGCAGCAGUAAGGAAUAUUGGUCAAUGGACGAAAGUCUGAACCAGCCAUGCCGCGUGAAGGAUGACGGCCCUCUGGGUUGUAAACUUCUUUUAUAGGGGACGAAAAAGGGUAUUCUUACUCACUUGACGGUACCCUAGGAAUAAGCACCGGCUAACUCCGUGCCAGCAGCCGCGGUAAUACGGAGGGUGCAAGCGUUAUCCGGAUUCACUGGGUUUAAAGGGUGCGUAGGUGGGUCUAUAAGUCAGUGGUGAAAUCUCCGAGCUUAACUCGGAAACUGCCAUUGAUACUAUAGGCCUUGAAUUAUCUGGAGGUAAGCGGAAUAUGUCAUGUAGCGGUGAAAUGCUUAGAUAUGACAUAGAACACCAAUUGCGAAGGCAGCUUACUACGGAUAUAUUGACACUGAGGCACGAAAGCGUGGGGAUCAAACAGGAUUUAGGAUACCCUGGUAGUCCCACGACCUAACCUACUAGAUACUACGACACUACAGCGAUACACUGUUGGUUGUCGUGAGCGAAGACGAUUAAGUAUACCACCGUACGGAAGGUACGGACCGAACCGUAAGGUUAGUUAAACGUUAAAGGUAAAGUUAGUUACGGUCGUUGAGACGUGCCGACGGACGACGACGAGGGAGGAGG
rnacentral:rRNA from 1 species